GUGCUAGCACCCGUGUGUGUAUACGUAGGGUGCAAAUGUUGUCCCGAAUUAUUGGGUGUAAAGGUGCUCGUAGGUGUGUUGAUCGCGUCGGAAGUGUAAUCUUGGGGCUUAACCCUGAGCGUGCUUUCGAUACGGGUUGACUUGAGGAAGGUAGGGGAGAAUGGAAUUCCUGGUGGAGCGGUGGAAUGCGCAGAUAUCAGGAGGAACACCAGUGGCGAAGGCGGUUCUCUGGGCCUUUCCUGACGCUGAGGAGCGAAAGCGUGGGGAGCGAACAGGCUUAGAUACCCUGGUAGUCC
rnacentral:rRNA from 1 species